rnacentral:rRNA from 1 species
AUUGAACGCUGGCGGCAGGCCUAACACAUGCAAGUCGAACGAGUGGCGGACGGGUGAGUAAUGUCUGGGAAACUGCCCGAUGGAGGGGGAUAACUACUGGAAACGGUAGCUAAUACAGCAUACCAUCGGAUGUGCCCAGAUGGGAUUAGCUAGUAGGUGGGGUAACGGCUCACCGAGGCGACGAUCCCUAGAUGGUCUGAGAGGAUGAGCAGCCACCCUGGAACUUAGACACGGUCCAGCCUCCUCCGGGAGGCAUCAGUGUGGAAUAUUGCACAAUGGGCGCAAGCCUGAUGCAGCCAUGCCGCGUGUAUGAAGAAGGCCUUCGGGUUUGAAAGUACUUUCAGCGAGGAGGCGUUACUCGCAGAAGAAGCACCGGCUAACUCCGUGCCAGCAGCCGCGGUAAUUC